rnacentral:rRNA from 1 species
UGGGGAAUUGUUCGCAAUGGGCGCAAGCCUGACGACGCAACGCCGCGUGGAGGAUGAAGGUCUUCGGAUUGUAAACUCCUGUUGCCCGGGACGAACGGCUCCGACCUAAUACGUUGGAGUGUGACGGUACCGGGUGAGGAAGCCCCGGCUAACUCUGUGCCAGCAGCCGCGGUAAUAUGUAGGUGGCAAGCGUUGUCCGGAUUUACUGGGUGUAAAGGGCGUGUAGGCGGUCUCUCAAGGCCGAUGCUA